UCGCCGUGGGCGAGGUGCAGACGCUGGGCGUCUCGGUGGCGCCCGAGCUGGCGCCGUAUCUGCUGUUCGCCGCGAUGGCGGCGGUCC
rnacentral:tRNA from 1 species